rnacentral:lncRNA from 1 species
AUCACCGCCUUCGUUACCACAGUCCCGCCAUCGUUACCACAGUGACACCAACACAAGGUUUCGGUCAGUGUCAUUGUCACUGUCGUCGUUACCAUGACCACCAACAACCUUAGUAUGGUCACCUUUGUCAUUCCCACUGUAACCGCCAGUUACCGGGAUCACCAACCGCAUCAAUACUAGCGUCACCUCCAUUUCUUCCCCGAGUCAUUUUCACGUUAUCAGGAUCGCCAACAUCAUCUUUACGGUCACUGUCUUCAUUACCACGGUGACUGUCAUCGUCACCAAGAUCACCGACAUUUUCACCGGUACUUACUGAGCUCUCGUUCUGUGCAGGAGGCCGACAGUCUUUCGAGUCGGGGACGGGGGAGAGAGGAAGGAAAAGAUCUAAGAAUGAAGAGCCCGCAGCAAAACCAGUAAAACUGGGCACAGAUACCGUCUGAGAGCAAGGAUCAAAGACACCGGCCACAAGACGGGUGUGCUGACAUGAGACUUCGGGGGUGGGCUGUGGGGUGGGGCUCGUGGGAUGUGGUGUGAACACAUCAUCCGCAUAGUGCUGUGCCCACAAGCAUUGGACUUGGUGCCAGACACGACGCGUCUCUCGGAGAGAUCAUGUCCGAAGAGAAUAUCCCACUAGAAAAAUGCAAAGCUCUUGAGGUCUGUACACAAUCCUAGUUUGGUCGGCUCAUUAAAAGAGAUGACAGAGAUAAGAGGGAUAACAGAAGACCGACCCUUAGGAAGGAAAAAAACCCUACUGUACAACUUUAUAACUCUUGAUGUGUUCUUGCAGCUAUACCGGUCCUAGCUAUAAUAAUAAUAACAAUAGUUGUGAC